rnacentral:rRNA from 1 species
ACGGCUCAGUAACACGUGGACAACCUACCCAAGAGUCAGGGAUAACCCCGGGAAACUGGGGAUAAUACCUGAUAGGCCACGACAUCUGGAAUGAGUCGUGGUUUAAACGUAAGGCUCUUGGAUGGGUCUGCGGCGGAUUAGGUUGUUGCCGGUGUAACGUACCAGCAAGCCUGUAAUCCGUACGGGUUGUGGAAGCAAGAGCCCGGAGAUGGAUUCUGAGACACGAAUCCAGGCCCUACGGGGCGCAGCAGGCGCGAAAACUCUACAAUGCAGGCAACUGCGAUAGGGGAACAUCGAGUGGCACCCACCAUGGGUGUCUGUCCAGCCGUCUAAAAAACGGCUGUUAGCAAGGGCCGGGCAAGACCGGUGCCAGCCGCCGCGGUAAUACCGGCGGCUCGAGUGGUGGCCGAUAUUAUUGAGUCUAAAGGGUCCGUAGCCGGCUUUGCAAGUCCCCUGGGAAAUCCAGCGGCUUAACCGUUGGGCUUUCAUGGGAUACUACAUUGCUUGGGACUGGGAGAGGUAGGAGGUACUCAGGGGGUAGGGGUGAAAUCCUGUAAUCCUCUGGGGACCACCGGUGGCGAAGGCGUCCUACCAGAACAGGUCCGACGGUGAGGGACGAAAGCUAGGGGCACGAACCGGAUUAGAUACCCGGGUAGUCCUAGCCGUAAACGAUGCUCGCUAGGUGUCACGGCAGUCGUGAAUUGUCGUGGUGCCGUAGGGAAGCCGUGAAGCGAGCCACUUGGGAAGUACGACCGCAAGGUUGAAACUUAAAGGAAUUGGCGGGGGAGCAC